AACGGAACAAACCCUUGAGAGCAGAGCGGCUGCACUGCGGUACCAACCCAACCCCAGGCGCCAAAAACCCCCGCCCACGCCGCGGGGGCAUUCCCGCAAACACCUCGCCGGCGAAGCGCCGCGCCCCCGAUGGCCGGAUCCGACCUCCCGUACACCGGCUCCGUCGGCGGCAGGAUCUCGCCCCCGCCGCGUACCCCGCUGUCGGCGUCGAGGAAGCGCAGGCGCGGCGACGGCGACGACGGGGGGCCGCCCUCGCUGCCGACCCGCGAGACCCGGGCCUCGGUCGCGGCGCGGGAGGCCGCGGUCGGCGCGGUGCGGACGGCGCGGCGCGCGGCCGCGGGGGCGUUGUGGGCGGCGCGGGGCCGCGGGCGCGGCCUCGGCGACGUGGGGCGGAUGCGGGAGGUGCUCCUCGCGGCGCGCCGCGCGCGCUACGCCCGCGUCCCGGACGACGACGACGGCUACCCGUACCCGCAGGAAAGUAGGAGUUCUGAGAGGGUAAAUUGUAAGAUCAGCUACUUAUCUAGUUAUCCGCUGAAAAGUGUUAGAACAGAUCCUGUCGAGCAUCAAGCUUCUGUCCCUGAGUGGAAAAAUGCUCCAUCUGUGGAAUAUACUGAUGAUUACAAAGCUGCAACCUUACCAAAACUGGGCACAGUUGUCUAUCCACUAAACAUGGAUAUCUCAGCAACUAACAAAUCAGAGAAGAAGAGGAAAAGAUUGGUAGACAAGUGUAAGUGUUCUUGUCCUGGAUCUGAGGACUGUGUACGAGUUCACGUAAAGAAGGCAAGGAGCUGGAUCAAGGAUCAGUUGGGUGAGGAAGCUUUCAAAAACUGUGGGCUAGAUGCAAUGGGUGAGCAAGUUGGAGAGCAAUGGACCACAGUUUUCAAAAGGAAACUUGAAAAAGUUGACAAGUUGAUUCCUCAGAAUAAACAUCAGAAAUUCAUGGGGAUUGCCUUGAAGGAGCUCGGACAGAAGGAAACAAAGGAUUUGGCGAAGUAUUACUACAAUGUUUUUCUUCCCAGAAGAUUGGCAAGCUUGACCAGGGCAGAGCAUAAAAAGGACGAAGCUGUUGAUACGAGUGAUGAAAAGAGUGAUCAAGAGGAUGACGAGAAUGAACAACAUCCUCGAAAGAAAAGUAAAAAAAGCUCUGGAUCCUCUUCCACAAGUAGAAGAAGAAUUAGGAAACUUGAGAAAGCAGGUUGAUGUGAUAAGAGUUUGCAGUGGAUCAAGACUGAUAUCCGGACCCAUGCAGUCGCAGAUCACCAGCGGUCGUAUAAGUAUGAGAUUCUUACCAUAGUUACCGGUGAUGGGCAUCCUAAGCAGAGGAGGGGCCGCGCUCCCGCACGAACGAAGGAGCCAGGGUUCUCCGCCGCAGCCGUCCCUCCGGCGAACCUCCAGUCCGCGCCGCCGCCCCCCGGAGCAGCGCUCGUCUGCCGGCCCAGGAAUUUAGCUGUUAAUUCUGCUCAGCCUUCUCCUGUGGCCAUGGGGACAGUUGCAAUCUACAGCCUUUUCAUCAUCAACAAGUCUGGUGGCCUUAUAUACUACAAGGACUAUGGCUCAGCUGGGAGAAUGGACACCAACGACAGUUUGCGCCUCGCGAGUCUCUGGCACUCGAUGCACGCAAUCUCGCAGCAGCUGUCCCCUACCACAGGCUGUACUGGCAUUGACCUCUUACAAGCCCACAACUUCGACCUCCAUUGCUUCCAGUCCCUCACAGGGACGAAAUUUUUCGUUGUAUGCGAGACAGGCACUCAAAAUAUGGAAAUCCUGCUGAAAACGAUAUAUGAGCUGUACACAGAGUUUGUUUUGAAGAACCCGUUCUACGAGAUGGAGAUGCCAAUCCGGUGUGAGCUCUUUGACCUCAACCUAGCCCAUGUCAUCCAGAAGGACCGUGUCGCACUUCUGGGCCGGUGAAACAUGAAAGGAACAUACGGAGCACCGACUCUUGCAAUUUCGUGUUUGUUUUUCUACCAUAUUUGUAUUUGGUCACCUAGAACAUGUUUCCUCUUGAAAGUGAUUCUGGCUGAUAACAUGAAUGCGGUACAGACUUCCAUAUCUGUAAAUCUGAUAUACAAUGCUGGGUUACAGCAUUUUGAGGACAGAAGAUGUGUGUAGACUUUGACAUUGCUCAGUUUGAAUUUGCAUGUCUCCAUGAUUUGAACAA